UCUGUCAGGAGUAAGCCGCAGUUUGAUCAUGAAGCCACAGAAACGUUGUCAUUUCUUAAAGCCCUUUACUUUUCUCUAAAGAAGGUGAAGGUCCAAUUUCCAUCAGUAGUCUGUAAAGCAGUUUAAUUGAUACUCCCUGGCUUUAAUUAUUUUUUAAAAUUCAAAUGCAAUCUGUCCAGUGGUUUCCUGUAACUGUGGAUUGACACUUCCGGUCACAGAUAUUUCUCCAAAGGCCUGUUUUUAAACUAUCCUUCUUGUUGGAAAUAAAAUUAUUUAACUACAGAUUCUCCAGAGCAUCCAGUCCAGAAAGCAAGAAAGACUGAAUAGUUACUGAAAAUUGCUAUGCAUCUUACCUCAGCCCAGCCCUCCUCUGGAAAUGUUCCUACCUCUCCUUCUUUUGACUUCCUAGUAUGAGCUCUGAAAUGGUUUGUUUCAUGUUGCCAUCUCUCCCUAAACUGCUAUUCAAAGAGAAUCUUGAGUGGUGGUGAGACACUGAAACAAGUUACCUGAGGAGGUUGUAGAUGCCCCAUCACUGGCAGUGUUCAAAGUCAGGUGUUACUGCUUUUACUUAGGCCAAUAUAAGGCAGAACAAAAUUCACUGAAGUCAGAAGAACUCUAGUGAGACAAUAAAGAAAUGGUGCGAAGAGAGAGUUAUUCUUUUAAGUGUUAGAUUUAUAAGUAAAACAUCCAUUUGAUUGUAUAUCAA